UAAAUUUGUACGCUAAUACAUGACUGGAACUAUAGUUCUGAUAAUAUGAGCGACUGUAUCUGAUAUUCCUGAAUCUAGUAGAACUUUCUGAGUCCCAUGCUAUAACUAAAUUUUGACGGUAUCUAACAGUCCUGGUAUACUGAUAUCUGAAGCACUGUCUGAGUUCUUUUACUGAGACUGAUACUGAAACUAUGGUAGGUAGUUUUUUAACUGACAUGCCCCAUGUAUACCAUUACGGCUAAGCUGGGCUCUAAUCUCUGCCCCGA
rnacentral:lncRNA from 1 species